UGGAUGAUGUGGAUUAAUUCGAUGCGAACGCGAAAACCUUACCUACCCUUGACAUGUCCGGAAUCCUGCAGAGAUGCGGGAGUGCCCGAAAGGGAAUCGGAACACAGGUGCUGCAUGGCUGUCGUCAGCUCGUGUCGCGAGAUGUUGGGUUAAGUCCCGCAACGAGCGCAACCCUUGCCAUUAGUUGCUACGAAAGGGCACUCUAAUGGGACUGCCGGUGACAAACCGGAGGAAGGUGGGGGAUGACGUCAAGUCCUCAUGGCCCUUAUAGGUGGGGCUACACACGUCGUACAAUGGCCGGUACAGAGGGUAGCCAACCCGCGAGGGGGGAGCCAAUCCCACAAAGCCGGUCGUAGUCCGGAUCGCAGUCUGCAACUCGACUGCGUGAAGUCGGAAUCGCUAGUAAUCGCGGAUCAGCAUGUCGCGGUGAAUACGUUCCCGGGUCUU
rnacentral:rRNA from 1 species